GCCUUCAGUGAAUUAUAGCUCAGUUGGUAGAACCUUGAGAGUCUUAAUCUUAGGGUCGUGGGUUCAAGCCCCCAUUGGGCA